AUUUACUUCGUUAAAUUAGUCUUCAUUUCUAGAUGCAACACCUUGCUAGACCUUGUUACCUGGAUAUUUUUUUUUUUUUGUGGUGCUGGGAAUCUAACCUAGGUCUUUGAACAUGGUAGGCAAGUGCCCUAUCACUGAGCUACACCCACAGCAAACCCUAUCAUUUUAUGGGUUUUUAAAAAUAUAUUGCUUUCUUCAACCCUGUUACCUUUUUUUUUAGAGGGGGGAAUUGGUACAAGUACAUAAUACUUAGUUUAUCUGCUUUUGUUUUUGUUUUAAUCUUGAAAUGUAGACUUUUAAGCUGUGGAGGAAAUUGGCAUCGGCCACUAAAUAGUCAUGCUACUUUACUAGACAAAUAUUGGACCAAAAUUCACCUGGAUAAUCUGGAUAAGAAAGAACUGAGUGAGGUUCUUCGGAGCAGAUAUUCCAGCCUGUUGGCAGCAGCUGAUCACCUGCUUGACAUCUACAUCCAGCUUACUGGAGAGAAACAUCACUGUCAGAGUGAGAGUUCUGUUGGAUGGGCACAGGCUCCUGAGGAAGUUUUAGAAUCCAGAAGAGAAAACAAAAGACCAGUCCUUGAGGGAAGAGAAUUGUCUCUAAGGUACUAUGUUACACUCUCUUUUGAAUUGAUACUUUAGAAUCAGCUUCCCUGAAAAGUUUUUACCAGCUAGAACUAAAUGGUUAUGACAGGUUUUGAAAUUAAACUUCUGGGUUACUUUAUGGGGUUAAACCCCU
rnacentral:lncRNA from 1 species